CCCAAAUCUCCCAAAACCGAACGCCUCUCUCUCCCUCCCUCUGUCUCUCACUCUCUGAUCCAACCGGCGGCGGCAGCGGCGACCGUCGGCGGGGGGGAUCCGGCGGUUUCUCCCGCUCCCUAUGCUCUGACCGCCUCGGCCCCACCCCGACGCGCCGGUGUCGCCUCCGCCGCCAUGGGCUCCAUCGAGCCCUUCAACCGGCUGGUGCGGCUGGCGGCGCGCGCCUUCUACGACGACAUCUCCAUGAAGGGCGACAACCAGCCCAAGACCUCCCGCGGGGACAACCGCGGCAUGGCCGUCGUCGUCCUCGACGCACUCACCAGACGCCAGUGGGUCCGGGAGGAAGAUUUGGCUAAAGCAUUGAAGCUCCACUCGAAGCAGCUGCGACGCAUUCUCCGAUUCUUUGAAGAAGAGAAGCUAGUCACGAGAGAUCACCGGAAGGAGUCUGCAAAAGGAGCAAAAGUAUAUAAUGCUGCUGCUGCAGCUGCCAGUGAUGGUCAACCAGUGCUUAAGGAGGGAGAAGAGAAAGUAAAGAUGCACACACAUUCAUACUGUUGCUUGGAUUAUGCUCAGAUCUGUGAUGUUGUAAGGUACCGGAUACACCGCAUGAAGAAAAAACUGAAGGAUGAAUUGGACAGCAGAAAUACAAUUCAACACUAUAUAUGUCCUAGUUGUAAUAAAAGGUACUCAGCCUUUGAUGCACUACAGCUGGUAAGCUACAUGGAUGAGUACUUCCAUUGUGAAACUUGCAACGAUGAACUGGUUGCAGAGAGUGACAAGCUUGCUUCUGAGGAAAUGGGAGAUGGUGAUGACAAUGCAAGAAAGCGUAGGCGUGAGAAAUUGAAGGACAUGCAGCAAAGAAUUGAUGAGCAAUUGAAGCCAUUGGUUGCACAACUUGAGAGAGUGAAGAAUCUGCCUGCGCCUGAGUUUGGGAGCCUACAAUCAUGGGAAAGAGCAAAUAUUGGUGCUUUUGCACAUGGUGACCCUGGUGCAGCUGAUUCAUCUAGGAACUCACAAGGGCCAUAUAAUGGUACGCCAAUGCCAUACAUUGGAAACACAGAGGUUGAAGUUGAAAUAGGUGAUGGUGUCAAAGAAGAAGGUGCUGAAUCUGGUAAAAAUGGUAAACAUCAGAAAGUCGUACCUAGAUGGAUGAUCAGAGAAGGCAUGAAUCUUACAAAGGAACAAAGAGGAGAGCCCAGUAGCACAUCGGAACUGGAUGAAAAAUCAGAAGGCAAGGAUGACAAAAAACAGGACUCAAAAGAUGAGAAGAGUAUACAGGAGGAAUACAUAAAGGCUUAUUAUGAGGCCUUGUGGAAAAAGCAGGAAGAGGGGGAUGCAAAAAAGAGAAUGCAGGAGGAAGGCGAGAGAUGUGUCUCUGAUUCUCAAUCUGAACGCCAGAUGGGCAAGAAAUACAAACGUGAGGAUGAGGAUGAGGGUAUUGAAUGGGAAGAGGAGCAAUCUGCAGGGAAUACAACCGAGACAUACAAAUUGGCAGAUUUGAAUGCAGAGGCGCAAGAAUCUGGCGACGAUGAAGAAGAGAUUCACUGGGAAGAUGGGUAAAACUUGAAAAGGGUAGCGUGUGACCCCUUGCUCGCUCUUGAAUUUUGUCGAACUCGUUGAAGCACAAUAUGUCAUGGAUUGUAAAAAAAAUAUUCCAGGACUUAGAAGCAAAUUAACAUUUGCCAUAUUAUUGCGAGGAGUUACUUUAGACUGUUAUGCUGUCGACAAUUUGACGAAGCUGCGGAGAGUUGCAUAGAGUGAACUAGCAUGGAAGAUGUGGUCUAGGUCCGACUGGUGUGAGCACGAAGGAACAUAUCAAAUUUUCGUUGGACGAGAACUUGCCACGGAGUACAAAGACUACAGCUUCGGAAAGGAUUUCCACCAAUAAAACUUUUAAAUAGAAAAUUUGAUUGAAAA